CCACCAUCUUCCAUGUGAGGGCACAACGUUGCUUCUCUCUGGAAGACGCAGCAAUAAGGCACUACUGUGGAAGCUAAGAAAGCAACUCAUCACCCAGCCUCACCAGCCAGCAUCUUGAUUUUGGAGAACGUUGGCCCAAAGUCUUAUUUCCAAGGAGAGAAAUGCUUUCACCAGGAGAUUCAACAAUGAUUUCACUGAACUGGACAUUAAGGCUGCUGCCCAGGUGCUUUGAAGUCCUCAUGCCUCUGAAUCAACAGGGAGAAAAGGCAGUUACUCUGCUGGCUGGAGUGAGUGAUGCUGACUACCAAGGGAAAACUGGAUGACUACUCCACAGUAAGGAAGAAUACAGCAGAUCCCUUACACCAUCUCUUAGUAUUACUGUGUCCUGUGAUUAAGGUCAGUGGAAAAUUAAAACAACCCAUUCCAGUCAGGACUAAUUGUCCAGACUCUUCAGGAAUGAAAGUUUGUGUCACUUCACUGAGCAGAAAAUACAACCAGCUAAGGUGCUUGCUGAAGAUAAAGGGAACACAAAAUGGGAGGUGCAAAAAAAGUAGUUAUAAAUACCAGCUAUGACAGCAUGACCAGCUACAGAAAUGAAGACUGUAAUUGUCCUAAGUAUUCCUUCUUAUUUUGUGGUGUGUGUGUAUGUUAAGCAAAUUGCUUUGUUUUCUUCCCUCUCUUGUUUCCCUGUUGUGGAACGUAAGAAGCACUGACUCAUAGUAUUUAAAAAUUGCUAAUUUUACAUUAUGGUAUUUGAGUUAUGGAAUAUCAAGGACAAGAGUAAAUAUCCUUCAAGAAUUUUACUCCUCUUCAGAAGAAGAAGUUUGUUUUUAUGUGUACAUGGGAUAGCUGUAUUAUGUAGGUGCAAUUGUGCCCUUGUUAUUCCUUCUAUGAAAAGAUUAAAUAUGGUUUGAGGAGAGGCAUGGUUACCAGGUUGACAAAGAUUGAACUUACAAUGGUUAAUUUUAUGUAUAAACUUAUUAUACAUAAAGUCUUGGGUUACUCAGGUAUUUGGUUACACAUUAUGCUGGAUGUGUCUGUGAGAGUAUUUUUGAAUAAGAUUAACAUUUGAAUUGGUAGACUAAGAAAAGCAGAUGCUUUCCCCAGUGAGUGGGCCUCAUCCAAUCUGUUGAAGACCUAGAUAACAAAAAAAAAAAAAAAUGGCUGAAUGAGAGACAACUCUCUUUCUGCCUGACUGUGUUGAAGAUAGGACAUUGGUCUCCUCCUAACUUUGGACUCAGAAUCAGAGUUUGCAUAUUUAGCUUUCUUGGUUCCUAAGCCUUUGGACUGUAACUGAAACUAGACUAUUGGCACUCCUGGUCUUUAGUUUACUGAGCGCAGAUCUUGGGGCAUCUCAUCAUCCAUAGUUUCAUGAGUCAAUUCCUUAUAAUAAAUAUAUAAUAACAUAUUAUUUAUAAGUGUUUUACAUUACAUUUUGUUGGUUUUGUUUCUCUGGAGAACCUAAACUGGGUCUCCACUCACUAAAUUCUAUCAUUACAGGAACAUGGACAUAAUGUUUCUGCUUUUCAGAUUGAAGUUAAUCUAUGGAUCAGCCUUUCUGUAACACUUAAACACCUCAUUUUAAACAUUUGCAAAGGUAUUUUAAAUUCUGCUUACACCCUUGACCUAUGAACUAAAAUUUG
rnacentral:lncRNA from 10 species